rfam:Brassica napus, WGS project CCCW01000000 data, contig: 12819
GUAAUAUAAGAUAUGGUCUUUUAGUUUUUAACUAGAAAAACUAAGAAACGUUUCUUAAACAAAAAAUAUAAGAGCCGUCUCCUAAUUUUUUUAGUUAAAAGUUAAGAGACCAUAUCUUAUAUUAU